rnacentral:tRNA from 3 species
CCCCCCGUAGCUCAGUGGACAGAGCAGAUGGUUUCUACCCAUUUUGUCGGGGGUUCGACUCCCUCCGGGGGGA